AACGAACGCUGGCGGCAUGCCUAACACAUGCAAGUCGAACGAGACCUUCGGGUCUAGUGGCGCACGGGUGCGUAACGCGUGGGAACCUGCCUUUAGGUUCGGAAUAACUCAGAGAAAUUUGAGCUAAUACCGGAUAAUGUCUUCGGACCAAAGAUUUAUCGCCUUUAGAUGGGCCCGCGUUGGAUUAGCUAGUUGGUGGGGUAAAGGCCUACCAAGGCGACGAUCCAUAGCUGGUCUGAGAGGAUGAUCAGCCACACUGGGACUGAGACACGGCCCAGACUCCUACGGGAGGCAGCAGUGGGGAAUAUUGGACAAUGGGCGAAAGCCUGAUCCAGCAAUGCCGCGUGAGUGAUGAAGGCCUAGGGUUGGUAAAGCUCUUUACCCGUAGAUGAUAAUGACAGUAUCGGGAGAAUAAGCUCCGGCUAACUCCGUGCCAGCAGCCGCGGUAAAGUGACUACUG
rnacentral:rRNA from 1 species